rnacentral:rRNA from 1 species
UACGUAGGGUGCGAGCGUUAAUCGGAAUUACUGGGCGUAAAGCGUGUGUAGGCGGCUACGAAAGUCGGAUGUGAAAGCCCCGGGCUCAACCCGGGAAGUGCACUCGAUACUGCGUAGCUUGAGUAUCGGAGAGGUUGGUGGAAUUCUCGGUGUAGAGGUGAAAUUCGUAGAUAUCGAGAGGAACACCUGUGGCGAAGGCGGCCAACUGGACGAAUACUGACGCUGAGACACGAAAGCGUGGGGAGCAAACAGG